CAGGCGCGAAAACUCUACAAUGCAGGCAACUGCGAUAGGGGAACAUCGAGUGAUACUCAUCUUGGGUGUCUGUCCUCCCGUCUAAAAAACGGGAGUUAGCAAGGGCCGGGCAAGACCGGUGCCAGCCGCCGCGGUAAUACCGGCGGCUCGAGUGGUGGCCGAUAUUAUUGAGUCUAAAGGGUCCGUAGCCGGCUUUGCAAGUCUUUUGGGAAAUCCAGCGGCUUAACCGUUGGUCGUCCGGGAGAUACUACAUUGCUUGGGACUGGGAGAGGUAGGAGGUACUCAGGGGGUAGGAGUGAAAUCCUGUAAUCCUUUGGGGACCACCGGUGGCGAAGGCGUCCUACCAGAACAGGUCCGACGGUGAGGGACGAAAGCUAGGGGCACGAACCGGAUUAGAUACCCGGGUAGUCCUAGCCGUAAACGAUGCUCGCUAGGUGUCACAACAAUCGUGAAUUGUUGUGGUGCCGUAGGGAAGCCGUGAAGCGAGCCACUUGGGAAGUACGACCGCAAGGUUGAAACUUAAAGGAAUUGGCGGGGGAGCAC
rnacentral:rRNA from 1 species